CUGUACUGGCUGCACGGCACCCUAACUACCAUGGGACAUUGUGCGGCCACAGCUCACACAGCCCCCUCCAGCCAGGGCCGGUGCAAGGAUUUUUGCCGCCCUAGGCAAAAGUAAAGUUUGCCGCCCCCCCAUGUGACAUCACAAUGCCCCACACAUAUGAUUUGCCAUGUUAACUAACGCCAGUGCUGCAGUGCCGCCGUGUUUACAUUAAAAGGCCUGCAGGGACAGGCUAUAGACACCAGAACCAUUACAUUAAGCUGAAGUGGUUCUGGGGACUAUAGUGUUUCUUUAAUGUGAGGUAAAUUAGAGCUUAGUGCCACGAAUAAUAUACUAGAUUGCCUACUUACAUCCAGAUGAGGAUGAUGAUGGGCUCUAGCUGCAGUCUGGCUCCACUGGUCUGGUGUACAA